rnacentral:rRNA from 1 species
AGCAGCCGCGGUAACUCCAGCUCCAAUAGCAUAUAUUAAAAUUGCUGCAGUUAAAAAGCUCGUAGUUGGAUCUGGGUUCUGGUCUGGAACAUCUCGGGUCAAUAUAGUGUUAUGCAUUUAUUGGUUCUUGGUUUAUCUAGGCCGAAUCUUCCAGCUGUGUCUAUGUGGUACUUCGGUAUUGCGUAGAUAGUGUAGUUGUCUGCGAUUGCUUCACAGCUUUCCAGCUUCGACUCUAUGCACUGUUAUGCCCUUAACCGGGUGUUCAGUGUGGACAGCACGUUUACUUUGAACAAAUUUGAGUGCUCAAAGCAGGCCUU